UACAGAGGGGGCAAGCGUUGUUCGGAAUUACUGGGCGUAAAGGGCGCGUAGGCGGCCUGCUAAGUCGAACGUGAAAUCCCCGAGCUCAACUCGGGAACUGCGUCCGAUACUGGCAGGCUUGAAUCCGGGAGAGGGAUGCGGAAUUCCAGGUGUAGCGGUGAAAUGCGUAGAUAUCUGGAGGAACACCGGUGGCGAAGGCGGCAACCUGGACCGGCAUUGACGCUGAGGCGCGAAAGCCAGGGGAGCAAACGGG
rnacentral:rRNA from 1 species